UCGUGGUUAGAAAGUGGUCGCCUCUCGUUUACACCGAGAGGGUCGGGGGUUCGAGCCCCUCACCGCCCACCA
rnacentral:tRNA from 1 species